CAAUAGCGUAUAUUAAUGUUGUUGCAGUUAAAAAGCUCGUAGUUGGAUUUCUGGGAGGGUGCCGAUGUCCGCGUAGCGUGAGUGCAGCGGCGCCCUCUCAUCCUUCUGUUAGCGUCUCUUGGCAUUCAUUUGCUGGUGGCGGGCUCAGAUAUUUUACCUUGAGAAAAUUAGAGUGUUUCAGGCAGGCUAGGCCGGAAUACAUUAGCAUGGAAUAAUAGAAUAGGACUACGGUCUCUUUGUUGGUUUGAGGGACUGCAGUAAUGAUUAAUAGGGAUAGUUGGGGGCAUUAGUACUUAACUGUCAGAGGUGGAAUUCUCAGAUUUGUUAAAGACUGACUUAUGCGAAAGCAUUUGCCAAGGAUGUUUUCAUUAA
rnacentral:rRNA from 1 species